rnacentral:rRNA from 1 species
UACGUAGGGGGCAAGCGUUGUCCGGAUUUCUUGGGCGUAAAGAGCGUGUAGGCGGCCAGGUAGGUCCGCUGUGAAAACUCGAGGCUCAACCUCGAGAUGUCGGCGGAAACCAUCUGGCUAGAGUCCGGAAGAGGAGAGUGGAAUUCCUGGUGUAGCGGUGAAAUGCGCAGAUAUCAGGAAGAACACCCGUGGCGAAGGCGGCUCUCUGGGACGGUACUGACGCUGAGACGCGAAAGCGUGGGGAGCGAACAGG